CAGUAGCCUGUCUGCGUGGGAAGGCUUCUGUCCAGUGAGAAAACAUACAGACCAUGACUAAAACAUAUUUAUAUCCAUGAGACAGGAGAAGUUGUGUAAAAUCCAUUUGCCAGACUUCAAAUGGUCUAGUAGGCAGCUUAAAAUGUCCAGGAGCAGUACAAACGAGGUUUUCCUGGAUUGUAUUUUGGACAAGUGGGACGAGAGAGAUCGGCACUUUUGUGGCAUUAUUAAUAUUUCCCCACCAAUAUUGAUUCAUGAGUGCUAACGUUUUGUCAGUAGACCAACGGUUAAAUGCAUGUACAGUGGUUAGGAGUGGGAAUUUUAGAGUCUCUGGUAGGGCUGGGUUGUUAUUUGGUCCAAACCAGAGCUUUCUCUUUUUAUCAAACCAACAAUUGUUGAAUUUCCACUCUUGUUUUUUGUUUUCUGAGGCCAAUUGUUGGGCUUCUCUAGCCAGUUUUUCUAAGUUAUCAUUUAGGAUAAUAGCCCUUUGGACCAUGACAUAGGUUUGGCUGUGGUUGGUUCCUUUAAGAGUAGCGUUCCUUGUGGAAGUAUCAGCAAGGUGAUUUCCUUUAGCUUUUAAAGAGUCAAGUUUAGAAAUGCCCCAGGAUCUUAAUAAUAUGUAAAGCAGCAGGUAAAAGUAUAGCAUCCAAUAAUUCCUGAACAGAGGGGCCAUUUUUUAUUUUAUUUUCACUGGAAGUAAGGAAGCCACAUUGUUUCCACAACAUUCCAAAAUUAUCAGUUACUCCAAAAGUGUAUCUACUAUCAGGAUAAAUCUUGGUAGUUUUGCUCUUGACUAAAGAAUGAGCUCUUUUAUUUUUUUUGUUAUCUUUUUUUUUUUAUUAAUGUUAUGAUAGAUUACAACCUUGUGAGAUUUCAGUUGUACAUUAUUGUUAGUCAUGUUGUGGGUACACCACUUCCCCCUUUGUGCCCUCCCCCCACCCUCCCCCUUUUCCCUGGUAACCACCAAUCAGAUCUCCUUGUCAAUAUGUUAACUUCCACCUUUGAGUGGAGUCAUAUAGAGUUCGUCUUUCUCUGACUGGCUUAUUUCCCUUAACAUAAUACCCUCGAGGUUCAUCCACGUUGCUGCAAAUGGGCCAAUUUUGUCUUUUUUUUUAUGGCUGAGUAGUAUUCCAUUGUGUAUAUAUACCAUAUCUUCUUUAUCCAAUCAUCAGUUUCUGGGCAUGUAGGUUGGUUCCACAUCUUGGCUAUUGUAAAUAAUGCUGCGAUGAACAUAGGGGUGCAAGGGACUCUUGGGAUUUCUGAUUUCAGGUUCUUAGGAUAGAUACCCAGUAAUGGGAUGGCUGGGCCAUAGGGUAUUUCUAUUUUUAACUUUUUGAGAAAUCUCCAUACUGUUUUCCAUAGUGGCUGUACCAGUUUGCAUUCCCACCAACAGUGUAUGAGGGUUCCUUUUUCUCCACAACCUCUCCAACAUUUGCUGCUCUUGGUUUUGGAUGUUUUUGCCAAUCUAACGGGUAUAAGGUGAUAUCUUAGUGUAGUUUUGAUUUGCAUUUCCCUGAUGAUUAGCGAUGAUGAACAUCUUUUCAUGUGUCUAUUGGCCAUAUUUAUAUCUUCUUUUGAGAAAUGUCUGUUCAUGUAAGAAUGAGCUCUUUUAAGUCAUGUAAUUUAGCUCAUCGCGCCGAAGUAGCCACAGGUAAAGGUGCUGCCUCCGUGAAGUCAAAAGGAGUUGCAAUAGCAUACCCAGAACAAUAUUUGCCAUUGUCACAUUUUAAAUAAGAACCAUCAGUGAACCA
rnacentral:lncRNA from 1 species